AUGUUCAGCAUCAGGUUUGGGAACCGAUAAUAUAGUUGCGUGACAAAUUGGAUCAAAGAACAGCCGGUAAUAGGUGAUAUUCCUUAGGGCGAGGAUGUUUACUUUGUGGAUCUCCAUAUUCCACCAAAGUAGCUUCCACUUUGCUCAUGUGAUCCUCUCCUCUCUCUUCCAGGACAAGGCUUCAUACACGAAGAUCACCAAUACCAAUUAAGCACUGUUUCCCAGCGCAUUAAAACCAGAACAUGGUCAGAGUUCUCAGGCUUGGAUAUUGAGGGCCUUCCUGCACAAAAUUCCGGCAGUAAUGACUGUGGAAUAUUCAUGAUAAUGGAAGGGGCUGAGAAGGGCCUGAGGCAGCUCGACUUCCACAUUGAAGCUUGGGAAACAAAUAAAAUAAUUCUGCCAUAAUAACCGCCAGCAG